AGUAUGGCAGGAGGUGGAAAUUGAGUUUUUAUUCAAUUUGUUCUUCAGAUGUUUAUCAAUAUCAGAUGCUCUUUGUUCACUUAAUUCACUACCACGAUCUUUAUCUUCAAUUGUGCUAAAGGAUUCCGGUUUAUUUCAUGGAAUACAAAUCCGUUUGAUCUUUGCCAUAGUCACCGGACUCUAGCAUCCAAUCGUCUACGUAUUCGUAGAAAAAGUAAAUGUUGUGGAAUUUAACGCUUUAUUGCAUCACAUCCGACUAAAAAAAAUGACCAGGGAAACAGAAGGCUGACAGACAUAUUCAUAGAAAAUAUGAAAAAGCCUUGCCUGUUGCCGUGUUGGAACUUGUAUUGACCUGUAUGAGCAUCAUACUGUGCAAAUCACCUAAAGAUGGAGUUGACCAAGUUGCUGACUUUGAGGAGAACUUGAAGAGCAGAAGAUGCAUUCCAUGACUCUUAUGUGAUAUAGAAGAGAAAGAAGAGCUCUUGAGAAUGGAAAAAAACUGCGAGUUUUACAGUCAAUGAACACACCUCACGACACACGUCCAUCCUGAUUCAGUAAACUGUUCUUCUAAGGAAACACCAUGACUUAGUUAAGAUCAAGUUUUGGUGUCAGAAGACUAAUGUAACUAAAACAUUGCAAAAUUAACCUGCAAGUGUCUUAUGUAAGCCUACUGAAUAAGGAUUCAUUACUGAACAGUUGAAGGAAAAUCAAUAUUAUAAUGAUUUUAAAAAAAAGAUGAUUGUGUUGUUUGGAUAACAUUGUGAUCCAUGUUUGUUGAAUAAACAACUUUGCAAAAA